rnacentral:rRNA from 1 species
AACGAACGCUGGCGGCGUGCUUAACACAUGCAAGUCGAACGGAAAGGCCUGCUUUCCCUUGUGGAUUGCGGGUACUCGAGUGGCGAACGGGUGAGUAACACGUGAGUGAUCUGCCCCCAACUUGGGUAUAAGCCUGGGAAACUGGGUCUAAUUCCCGAUAGGACUGCAGGGUGGUGCCUGUGGUGGAAAACGAUUUUCUAGUGGUUGGGGAUGAGCUCGCGGCCUAUCAGCUUGUUGGUGGGGUAAUGGCCUACCAAGGCGGCGACGGGUAGCCGGCCUGAGAGGGUGGACUGCCACAUUGGGACUGAGAUACGGCCCAGACUCCUACGGGAGGCAGCAGUGGGGAAUAUUGCACAAUGGGCGGAAGCCUGAUGCAGCGACGCCGCGUGGGGGAUGACGGCCUUCGGGUUGUAAACUCCUUUCGACCGCGAGGAAGCCACCUGGUUGGAAGGGUGGUGACGGUAGUGGUAGAAGAAGCACCGGCUAACUACGUG